GACAGAGGGGGCAAGCGUUGCUCGGAAUCACUGGGCGUAAAGGGUGCGUAGGCGGGUUUUUAAGUCAGGGGUGAAAUCCUGGAGCUCAACUCCAGAACUGCCUUUGAUACUGAAGAUCUUGAGUUCGGGAGAGGUGAGUGGAACUGCGAGUGUAGAGGUGAAAUUCGUAGAUAUUCGCAAGAACACCAGUGGCGAAGGCGGCUCACUGGCCCGAUACUGACGCUGAGGCACGAAAGCGUGGGGAGCAAACAGG
rnacentral:rRNA from 1 species